AUUGAACGCUGGCGGCAGGCUUAACACAUGCAAGUCGAGCGGAGCGGCGGACGGGUGAGUAAUGCCUAGGUAUCGGCCUGGUCGUGGGGGAUAAGGUCAGGAAACGGGCGCUAAUACCGCAUACUAUCAGAAGAGCCUAGGUCGGAUUAGCUAGUGGGUGGGGUAAAGGCCUACCAAGGCGACGAUCAGUAACUGGUCGGGGAGGAUGAGCAGUGACACUGGAACUGAGACACGGUCCAGACUCCUACGGGAGGCAGCAGUGGGGAAUAUUGGACAAUGGGGGAAAGCCUGAUCCAGCCAUGCCGCGUGUGUGAAGAAGGUCUUCGGAUUGUAAAGUAAUUUAAGUUGGGAGGCGUUACCUACAGAAUAAGCACCGGCUAACUACGUGCCAGCAGCCGCGGUAAUAC
rnacentral:rRNA from 1 species